rnacentral:lncRNA from 1 species
AUGUUAGGUGGUAUAGAUGAAGACAAAUCCGAGAGCCUAAAACCCAGACGAGAUAGCGCAACAGCAUUGCAGAGGAUUUUAGCGGAGAACUCCAAAAUCCUCAGCCGGAUACAGAUUCAAAGAACUGACAAAAGCAUUUCCAAACUCAGCGAUUUAGACGAGAUAAGCGUAAGAAAAGAGGUAUCGUCCAGAGGUAGUUUUGAGGAUAAUACGUCCAAAUUCAGCAAAACUAGGCAGUAUUCCUCACUGGACAGUAGUCAAUUUUCUUUCUUUAAAAAAGGAGAUAUAUCAAAGCAUAGCUUAGGUGGAUCAUUCUCCGAGAAUAAACUCCACUCGGAUGAAUAUACUUGCUUGAGGCCGCAUCAGAAGCCACUUCUGGAGGACGUUGAGGACAAAACCAUCGAAGAGCUCCUACAUGGAAGUGUCAGCUCACACGAACGAGGGACUCCAAUUGACGAGAUUGUAGGGAGUUCGGUGUCAAGGACGCAAUCUACCGGAUCGAUUCUAAACUAUCCAUUACAAACAGGCUCUGAACUGGGGUUCGAGAGGGACGGAGCUGUCUCCCGGUUAAAAUCUUCGGGGACCGAGUUUGAGAUGGGUUCGUUGGAAAAAGCGAGCACAUUUUCGAGCGGCUUUCUACAGGGGGCAAGGUUGGAAAUUGGAAGUGAGCAAGUAAAUAUUUCGAGUCGGGAAGAUGACCUGGAGAGAUUUCCGAGUGUUGGGAGUUUCAGCGGAGGUCGCCGGGCCCGGAGUCAGGACGAGGAGAGCGAGAUGUCCGUGGGGACCGCGGCAGACGAGACCCAGCUCCAGAGCGAGUACUUCGAGUCGGUUACGACCGAGAACGAAACAGAGAAAUUCACAUCCUCCUGCGAAAGCUCCACCUACGAUCUGGAAACAAUGCUCAGCGACAGCCCUCCUCUCCAUCAUAACUUCCCUUCGUCGAGGAGUUUGUACACGACUAUCUUGUCCCACAAGUUCGACCCCCAGGACAUCGUAAGCUCCCCUCUCGAUCAUCUGAAAACUGACUGUUUGUCCGAUUGA